GUGCCAGACUCCUACGGGAGGCAGCAGUGGGGAAUAUUGCACAAUGGGGGAAACCCUGAUGCAGCGACGCCGCGUGAGUGAAGAAGUCAUUCGUUAUGUAAAGCUCUAUCAGCAGGGAAGAAAAUGACGGUACCUGAGUAAGAAGCCCCGGCUAACUACGUGCCAGCAGCCGCGGUAAUACGUAGGGGGCAAGCGUUAUCCGGAUUUACUGGGUGUAAAGGGAGCGUAGACGGCAGUGCAAGUCUGGAGUGAAAGGCGGGGGCUCAACCCCCGGACUGCUCUGGAAACUGUACGGCUGGAGUGCAGGAGAGGCAAGCGGAAUUCCUAGUGUAGCGGUGAAAUGCGUAGAUAUUAGGAAGAACACCAGUGGCGAAGGCGGCUUGCUGGACAGUAACUGACGUUGAGGCUCGAAAGCGUGGGGAGCAAACAGGAUUAGAUACCCCAGUA
rnacentral:rRNA from 1 species